rnacentral:rRNA from 1 species
UACGGGGGGGAGCAAGCGUUGUUCGGAUUUACUGGGCGUAAAGGGCGCGUAGGCGGCGCAACAAGUCACUUGUGAAAUCUCCGGGCUUAACCCGGAGCGGCCAAGUGAUACUGUCGUGCUAGAGUGCGGAAGGGGCUACUGGAAUUCUCGGUGUAGCGGUGAAAUGCGUAGAUAUCGAGAGGAACACCUGCGGCGAAGGCGGGUAGCUGGGCCGACACGUGCGUGAGGCGCGAAAGCCAGGGGAGCGAAACAGGG